rnacentral:rRNA from 1 species
CCUACGGGAGGCAGCAGUGAGGAAUAUUGGUCAAUGGGCGCGAGCCUGAACCAGCCAAGUAGCGUGAAGGAUGACUGCCCUACGGGUUGUAAACUUCUUUUAUAAAGGAAUAAAGUGAGGCACGUGUGCAAGUUUGUAUGUACUAUAUGAAUAAGGAGCGGUUAACUCCGUGCCAGCAGCCGCGGUAAUACGGAGGAUCCGAGCGUUAUCCGGAUUUAUGGGGUUUAAAGGGCGCGUAGAGGGGUUUUUAUGUCAGUGGUGAAAGUUGGCGGCUCAACCGUACAAUUGCAAUUGAUACUGGCAGUCUUGAGUACAGUUGAGGUAGGCGGACUUCGUGGUGUAGCGGUGAAAUGCUUAGAUAUCAC